CGGGACACGUGGUAUCCUGUCUGAAUAUGGGGGGACCAUCCUCCAAGGCUAAAUACUCCUGACUGACCGAUAGUGAACCAGUACCGUGAGGGAAAGGCGAAAAGAACCCCGGCGAGGGGAGUGAAAAAGAACCUGAAACCGUGUACGUACAAGCAGUGGGAGCACGCUUAGGCGUGUGACUGCGUACCUUUUGUAUAAUGGGUCAGCGACUUAUAUUCUGUAGCAAGGUUAACCGAAUAGGGGAGCCGAAGGGAAACCGAGUCUUAACUGGGCGUUAAGUUGCAGGGUAUAGACCCGAAACCCGGUGAUCUAGCCAUGGGCAGGUUGAAGGUUGGGUAACACUAACUGGAGGACCGAACCGACUAAUGUUGAAAAAUUAGCGGAUGACUUGUGGCUGGGGGUGAAAGGCCAAUCAAACCGGGAGAUAGCUGGUUCUCCCCGAAAGCUAUUUAGGUAGCGCCUCGUGAAUUCAUCUCCGGGGGUAGAGCACUGUUUCGGCAAGGGGGUCAUCCCGACUUACCAACCCGAUGCAAACUGCGAAUACCGGAGAAUGUUAUCACGGGAGACACACGGCGGGUGCUAACGUCCGUCGUGAAGAGGGAAACAACCCAGACCGCCAGCUAAGGUCCCAAAGUCAUGGUUAAGUGGGAAACGAUGUGGGAAGGCCCAGACAGCCAGGAUGUUGGCUUAGAAGCAGCCAUCAUUUAAAGAAAGCGUAAUAGCUCACUGGUCGAGUCGGCCUGCGCGGAAGAUGUAACGGGGCUAAACCAUGCACCGAAGCUGCGGCAGCGACGCUUAUGCGUUGUUGGGUAGGGGAGCGUUCUGUAAGCCUGUGAAGGUGUACUGUGAGGUAUGCUGGAGGUAUCAGAAGUGCGAAUGCUGACAUAAGUAACGAUAAAGCGGGUGAAAAGCCCGCUCGCCGGAAGACCAAGGGUUCCUGUCCAACGUUAAUCGGGGCAGGGUGAGUCGACCCCUAAGGCGAGGCCGAAAGGCGUAGUCGAUGGGAAACAGGUUAAUAUUCCUGUACUUGGUGUUACUGCGAAGGGGGGACGGAGAAGGCUAUGUUGGCCGGGCGACGGUUGUCCCGGUUUAAGCGUGUAGGCUGGU
rnacentral:rRNA from 1 species